rnacentral:lncRNA from 1 species
AAAACAUUAGAAAAAUGGCAAAUGCACGCAUUACGUAUCAAUCCAGGCGGAUUUGACUAAUGGACACACAAGUACUAAGUGAGCAUUCCUCACUGAUCACCAGCAUUAAAAAAAAGCUGGGAAAAUACACAUACUUACAGAUCACGAAAAUCCUAGUCACUACCACUUGUUAUGUUCCUGAGAAUUCAAGCAAAAUGAUGGGCUACGAGUAGGUUGUGUCCAAGUGGGGGUUGCGAGCGGGGCCGCAAGGUCUUUCUGACGAGAAGAGCCUUGAAUGGAAACAGGAGCGGCAGGCAGAGUUGACUGAGAGGCGCGGAGACGGUUGGUUCUCGAGAUACAUUGCAGCAGCAGCAGUAGCACAGCUGCAGCGGUGCCAGUGGGGUGGAGGGGAAACGUAACGGGGGCGAUCGCACGGCAAGCAAGCAAAGCAAAGCAAGCCAGGCUGGUGGCGAAUUCGCCCAACUGCCCCAUUGAUCCGGC